UCGUCCUACGGGGCGCAGCAGUAGGGAAUCUUCCACAAUGGGCGAAAGCCUGAUGGAGCAACGCCGCGUGGGUGAAGAAGGUCUUCGGAUCGUAAAACCCUGUUGUUAGAGAAGAAAGUGCGUGAGAGUAACUGUUCACGUUUCGACGGUAUCUAACCAGAAAGCCACGGCUAACUACGUGCCAGCAGCCGCGGUAAUACGAAGGUGGCAAGCGGUAUCCGGAGUUAUUGGGCGAAACGG
rnacentral:rRNA from 1 species